UACGUAGGUCCCGAGCGUUGUCCGGAUUUAUUGGGCGUAAAGCGAGCGCAGGUGGUUUAUUAAGUCUGGUGUAAAAGGCAGUGGCUCAACCAUUGUAUGCAUUGGAAACUGGUAGACUUGAGUGCAGGAGAGGAGAGUGGAAUUCCAUGUGUAGCGGUGAAAUGCGUAGAUAUAUGGAGGAACACCGGUGGCGAAAGCGGCUCUCUGGCCUGUAACUGACANUGAGCAUCGAAAGCGUGGGGAGCAAACAGGAUUAGAU
rnacentral:rRNA from 1 species